GACGAACGCUGGCGGCGUGCUUAACACAUGCAAGUCGAGCGGUAAGGCCCUUUCGGGGGGUACACGAGCGGCGAACGGGUGAGUAACACGUGGGUGACCUGCCCUUAGCUCUGGGAUAAGCCUGGGAAACUGGGUCUAAUACCGGAUAUGACUCCAUGACGCAUGUUGUGGGGUGGAAAGCCUUGUGCGGCUAGGGGAUGGGCCCGCGGCCUAUCAGCUUGUUGGUGGGGUGAUGGCCUACCAAGGCGACGACGGGUAGCCGCCUGAGAGGCGACCGGCCACACUGGGACUGAGACACGGCCCAGAC
rnacentral:rRNA from 1 species